GGGGAUUUAGCUCAGUGGUUCCAGCACUUGCCUCACAAGCAAGCACAAGGUCCUGAGUUUGAUCCCCG
rnacentral:tRNA from 1 species